rnacentral:rRNA from 1 species
AUGUUGGGGGGCGUCCUGUCCAAGACCCUGCUGCUGCUGUUCGGGUACGCGAUGCCGGCGUUCGAGUGCUUCAAGACGGUGGAGGCGCGCCCCAACGACGCGCACAUGCUCCGCUUCUGGUGCCAGUACUGGAUUAUUGUGGCCAUGGUGAUAGCCUUUGAGAGCCUCAUCUCUUGGAUGCCAAUGUAUGGAGAAAUUAAGCUUGCUUUCUUUGNNNNNNNNNNNNNNNNNNNNNNNNAGGGCAGUGAUGUUGUAUAUGACACCUUUCUUCGGCCCAUUGUGAUGCAAUAUGAACCAAACAUCGAGCAGAGGUUACUGCAUCUGAGGGCAAAGUCUGGGCAGUUACUUAGCUUCUAUGUUAAGAACUGUGCUGACAAAGGGACGGCAUUUUUCAUGGAUGUCUUGCGUUAUGUGGUCUCUGACAAGGCCGAAGGAUCAAAUCUAGAGAGGAAUAAGAAGUCUAGCUGGAGUCCCUUUGCGACUAAACGUCGGCCGCCAUCGCCGCCGCAGGAAUCUCUCUUUGACAACCCUGAUGCUGCAGUUGUCGCUGAAGUUCUGCGCGCGGCCAUCAACCCUAAGCCCCGGCGAGCUCAUAAUGACAAGGACUAUUAG